CAAGUCGAACGAGAUUGUGGGGGCAACUCUGCAGUCUAGUGGCGGACGGGUGAGUAACACGUGGGUAACCUGCCCGGAAGUGGGGAAUACCUCGGGGAAACUCGAGCUAAUACCGCAUAACAUCUUCGGGACGAAAGUCCUGACGAUCAAAGCGGGGUCGCAAGAUCUCGCGCUACCGGAUGGGCCCGCGCCCGAUUAGCUAGUUGGUGAGGUAACGGCUCACCAAGGCUUCGAUCGGUAACCGGCCUGAGAGGGCGAUCGGUCGCACCGGAACUGAGACACGGUCCGGACUCCUACGGGAGGCAGCAGUGGGGAAUCUUGCGCAAUGGGCGAAAGCCUGACGCAGCAACGCCGCGUGGAGGAUGAAGGCCCUUGGGUUGUAAACUCCUGUCGGCUGGGAAGAAAUCGUUCGGGGCUAAUACCUUCGGACGUUGACUGUACCAGCAAAGGAAGCCCCGGCUAACUCUGUGCCAGCAGCCGCGGUAAUACAGAGGGGGCCAGCGUUAUUCGGAAUUAUUGGGCGUAAAGGGCGCGUAGGCGGCCAUGCGUGUCUCCCGUGAAAUCCCUCGGCUUAACUGAGGACGUGCGGGAGAAACUGCAAGGCUCGAGUCCGGGAGAGGGGGGUGGAAUUCCCAGUGUAGCGGUGAAAUGCGUAGAUAUUGGGAGGAACACCGGUGGCGAAGGCGGCCCCCUGGACCGGUACUGACGCUGAGGCGCGAAGCGUGGGUAGCAAACGGGAUUAGAUACCCCGGUAGUCCACGCCGUAAACGAUGGGCACUUGGUGUCGCGGGUAUCGACCCCUGCGGUGCCGAAGCUAACGCAUUAAGUGCCCCGCCUGGGGAGUACGGUCGCAAGGCUGAAACUCAAAGGAAU
rnacentral:rRNA from 1 species